UGGGGAAUAUUGCACAAUGGGCGCAAGCCUGAUGCAGCAAUGCCGCGUGAGUGAAGACGGCCUUAGGGUUGUAAAACUCUUUCGCUAGGGAAGAUAAUGACGGUACCUAGUAAAGAAGUCCCGGCUAACUCCGUGCCAGCAGCCGCGGUAAUACGGAGGGGAACUAGCGUUGUUCGGAAUUACUGGGCGUAAAGAGCUCGUAGGCGGUCCGUUGCGUCUGCCGUGAAAACCCGGAGCUCAACUCCGGGCCUGCGGUGGAUACGGGCGGACUAGAGUCCGGUAGGGGAGACUGGAAUUCCUGGUGUAGCGGUGGAAUGCGCAGAUAUCAGGAGGAACACCGGUGGCGAAGGCGGGUCUCUGGGCCCGGAACUGACGCUGAGGAGCGAAAGCGUGGGGAGCGAACAGGAUUAGAUACCCUGGUAGUCCACGCCGUAAACGGUGGGCGCUAGGUGUGGGGAUCGUUUCC
rnacentral:rRNA from 1 species